rnacentral:rRNA from 1 species
GACGAACGCUGGCGGCGUGCUUAACACAUGCAAGUCGAACGGAAAGGCCUUGCUUUUGUGGGGUGCUCGAGUGGCGAACGGGUGAGUAACACGUGAGUAACCUGCCCUUGACUUUGGGAUAACUUCAGGAAACUGGGGCUAAUACCGGAUAGGAGCUCCUGCUGCAUGGUGGGGGUUGGAAAGGUUCGGCGGUUGGGGAUGGACUCGCGGCUUAUCAGCUUGUUGGUGGGGUAGUGGCUUACCAAGGCUUUGACGGGUAGCCGGCCUGAGAGGGUGACCGGCCACAUUGGGACUGAGAUACGGCCCAGACUCCUACGGGAGGCAGCAGUGGGGAAUAUUGCACAAUGGGCGGAAGCCUGAUGCAGCAACGCCGCGUGCGGGAUGACGGCCUUCGGGUUGUAAACCGCUUUCGCCUGUGACGAAGCGUGAGUGACGGUAAUGGGUAAAGAAGCACCGGCUAACUACGUG